rnacentral:rRNA from 13 species
GCCAACGCCCUGGCCACGUUGAGUGCACUCGUUCCCGUCAGAUCACGAAAGUUAAGCAGCGCCGGACAUGGAUAGUACUUGGAUGUGUGAUCGCCUGGGAAUUCUGUGUGGCGUUAGCG